ensembl:lncRNA RUSC1-AS1 RUSC1 antisense RNA 1
UUACUCCCAGAGGAAGGGACCCAGGGAGACCCACCCAGAUGCCCUGAAAGGAGGUGGAGGAUGGGGGUGGGGCAAUACGCAGAGUUUGUCUGGUGAAUGCAGGAAAGGGGUGGGGGCUGGAGAGGAAAAGGAUGGAGCAGCCGUCAGCUUGUCAACUCCGCAUCUGCUGGCUGCCUCGGCCGGGCUCCAGCCUGCGCCCUCGCCCCUCGGAACAGCGGCACGCUGCAAUCCUGUACCCUGAAACCAGCUAGAUGAGCAUGUCCUAUAGAGGCCAAGGCUACCAUGGGCACCCUCUGGGCAUCGGGCCCUGUCUGCAAUACACCUGCAGGAAGAGCUCGAUCAGGUUCAGGUAAUAGGGCUGCUCCCGGCAAUAGAGCUUCAGCAGGCGGUAGAUACAUGCUUCCAGGAGGUUAGCAUCAUUGAUGGCAUCCAAACCCACGCCCGGCUGUCAUGACAGACAGAAAAACAAGCAAUCAAUCUCUAGUCUCGGUUCAUACUAAGAGCCAUCACCCCAACACCUCAACCAGGCCAUAUAUAACCACCUCCCUGUGGCCUGUCCCCAUACCCACUGCUAUUUUCCUGCCCACAUUACCUUCUGAUACCAGCAGAUCUGUCCCCGGCGGGUAAGGGAUGAAUCCAUGAUGUCAUCUGCCACCAGGAAGAAAGCUUGCAGCUAGAAAGAGUGGAAUAAGACCUGCAGGGCUCCUCAUUACUGUUCCUUCUAUCAGCAACAGAGCUGCUACUUUAUAUCUGUAUAUAGUUUUGCUUUUUUUUGGUAGGGGACAGAGUCUCACUAUUAUCCAGUGCAGUGGUGCAGUCACAGCUCACUGUAGCCUCUAACUCCCAGGCUCAAGUGAUCCUCCCACUUCAGCUUCCUGAGUUCCUGAGACCAUAGGCACAUACCCCAUGCCUGGCUAUUUUUUUUUUUUAAUUUAUUUUUUGUAGAGACAGGGUCCCACUAUGUUGCUCAGGCUGGUUUUGAACCCCUGGGUUCAAAUGAUCCUCCUGCCUCAGCCUCCCAAAUUACUGGGAUUACAGGCAUGAGGCAUCACAGCCGGCCAGAGCUGCUGCCUUUGACAGUCCCUAUGAGCUGGGAAAGUCAGGAUGGGGAGACAGAAGACUUCUGUGCUAUGGAGACUUGGAAAGUGACAUAACAUGUUUGGCUCAGACUCCCCGCCUAUAAAAUGGAACUAAAACACUCUUGUUUUAGGUUAAGAAACUAGAACAGAUCUUUGACAUCUCUAAUGAGCCCUAGAUUAUUCCUGGUGUCAGGGAGAUUAGGAAACACCUUCAUAUACCGUACUCUAUUCUUGCCAAAAACCUCAAUGAAUGCUUAAAGUAAGAUCUAUUCAUGAAACUGACUUCACAUUACUUCCUAAAUAAAAGAAGGCUAUUCCCACAUUGCCCCCAGCACUGUGUUUGAACACCCUGGUGACUAGGAACACAGCCUUACCUAAAGCAGCUCCUUAGCAGUGCAGGUCUAAUAAGGUGGAACUGAAAUCUGACUUUGACCUAUGAGUCUCAGACAUCUUUAAACAUCUUUAAACAUUAACUAAGGGCUUACUCUUCUGAGUGCCCAUCUGAAGGUACCUGAACGUGUCGGGUUUCCCACUAGACCAUGAUCUCCUUGGAAGCAGGGACAGUAACUUCCCCCUCUUAGCAUUUGCAGAGCCUAGCACAGCAUUAGGCCUGGAGUGAGAGUUUCCUAAACACUUGUCUGACAAAGAAAUUAAUAAAACACUC